rnacentral:lncRNA from 1 species
AGGUGGAGUAGCAAGAAACAAUAGAGGAAGCUGGAUCAUAGCAUUCCAUAAAAAAGUUGCAACCCUCUCACAAAUACAAGUGGAACUUCAAGCCUUGAAAGAAUGCCUUCAAGUUAUAACGGAGCACAACUUGACACCAGUAGAAAUAGAAACUAAUGCAUCGGAGGUAAUUAAUAUGGCAGAUAAUGAUCACCCUACUUACACAAAACUAAUUUAUGCAUGCGGGUGGUUGAUGGAACACGCGAGGAGGAAGGAUCAGGUGGUACUCAGGAAAAAAGAACGAGGUGGCGCAUGCCUUGGCAAGAAUGGCACUACUGCAGACCAACAUAAAUAAAAUAUCUCUUUUCGCAACCCCACAAGAGCUAGCGAUACAACAAUAUCCAAAGGAUGCAGAGGAAAUUUCUUUUGUUAAAUAAAUUUCUGGUAAUGUAUGUUCUAAGUUGGAUGUUUUAGGAAAC